GUAUCUGGCUCAGGAUGAACGCUAGCUACAGGCUUAACACAUGCAAGUCGAGGGCAGCAUUUCAGUUUGCUUGCAAACUGGAGAUGGCGACCGGCGCACGGGUGAGUAACACGUAUCCAACCUGCCGAUAACUCGGGGAUAGCCUUUCGAAGAAAGAUUAAUACCCGAUGGUAUAAUCAGACCGCAUGGUCUGUUAUUAAGAAUUCGGUUAUCGAUGGGAUGCGUUCCAUUAGG
rnacentral:rRNA from 1 species